rnacentral:rRNA from 1 species
UACGGGGGGGGCAAGCGUUGUUCGGAAUUACUGGGCGUAAAGGGCGCGUAGGCGGCCCUCUAAGUCAGACGUGAAAUCCCCAGGCUCAACUUGGGAACUGCGUCUGAUACUGGAUGGCUUGAAUUCGGGAGAGGGAUGCAGAAUUCCAGGUGUAGCGGUGAAAUGCGUAGAUAUCUGGAGGAAUACCGGUGGCGAAGGCGGCAUCCUGGACCGAGAUUGACACUGAUGAGCGAAAGCUAGGGGAGCAAACGGG